rnacentral:lncRNA from 1 species
AAAAAAUAACACUUGUCUUCUGCUCUGAUAACUGAAGAACGCAUGCCAGAGCCAUCAUCUGCAGAAUGAAAUAUUGAUGGAGGAGCCAAAGUUUCAGGCUUUCCAGGGAAAUCUUCUGAGAAGAGACUGCACCGGUGGCACCGACGGUACCUGAGGUAUCAGCAGUGGGGUGGAGGAGAGAAGAGGGGAGGGAUGAUUUCAAGACAAAAUGCUGAGCAACUUUGGAGCCACACAGAAAUGUUGUGACCAGACAUUGCCUACAGUGAGGUGUCAGGUGAAGCACUGCCACACUUACGGGACAAGCAGUUUUACACCCUGCCCCGGUUCAAAAACUACAAGGAGCAGGAGGAGCGAGUAGUGUUAACGGCUGUAAAUAAGGCCAAUGCAUCUCAAAUCAGAUCCUGGUGGAAUAUGAGACAGUGAAGGUGAAAUACCAUUUGCAGAAAGAAAUGAGAGAAAACCCGCAUAGCAAGCAAUGGAAUAAUCACGUCUGGCGCAUACCUGUGUGCUCUAGGGAGUGAAAUGAUCCAGAGGGUUAUGGUUAAGCAGCAGUGACAUAGGGCCCACUGCUGCUGAAGUCAGUGGAGGCACUGCUCCGGACUUUACUGAGGUAAGGUUCAUGCAGCUCCAAGUUCGAAGGACAAGUGCCGGAUAUCUGCCUGCUCCAGCUGGGGAUCCAGCCAUUUUUCUUACAGCAUGCAGUCGUCAGUGGGCGAAAUGAUGAUGGGAAAAUGAGGGAGACAGUGGAACACAGCUUAGUUGUAUUUGUGUGAAAUGAGUGUUUCUCGACGAUGCUGAGUAAUAUUUUCUCACGCUGUAAGUUCUGGCAUCA